CCUACGGGGGGCUGCAGUGAGGAAUAUUGGUCAAUGGCCGAGAGGCUGAACCAGCCAAGUCGCGUGAGGGAAGACGGCCCUACGGGUUGUAAACCUCUUUUGUCGGGGAGCAAAGCGAACCACGUGUGGCUCAUUGAGAGUACCCGAAGAAAAAGCAUCGGCUAACUCCGUGCCAGCAGCCGCGGUAAUACAGAGGUCGCAAGCGUUGUUCGGAAUGACUGGGCGUAAAGCGUGCGUAGGCGGUUUCGUAAGUCGUGUGUGAAAGGCGCGGGCUCAACCCGCGGACGGCACUGGAUACUGGGAGACGAGAGUACAGGAGAGGGAACCGGAAUUCUCGGUGUAGCAGUGAAAUGCGUAGAUAUCGAGAGGAACACUCGUGGCGAAGGCGGGUUCCUGGACAGUAACUGACGCUGAGGCACGAAAGCCAGGGGAGCAAAAGGGAUUAGAUACCCCGGUAGUC
rnacentral:rRNA from 1 species